AGUCUACGACCAUACCACGUUGAAAGCACGACAUCUCGUCCGAUCUGUCAAGUUAAGCAACGUUGGGCCUGAGGAAUCCAGGUGUUGUAGACAUG
rnacentral:rRNA from 1 species